rnacentral:rRNA from 1 species
GACGAACGCUGGCGGCGUGCUUAACACAUGCAAGUCGAACGGUAAGGCCCUUCGGGGUACACGAGUGGCGAACGGGUGAGUAACACGUGGGUGAUCUGCCCUGCACUUCGGGAUAAGCCUGGGAAACUGGGUCUAAUACCGGAUAGGACCACUGCCUGCAUGGGUGGUGGUGGAAAGCUUUUGCGGUGUGGGAUGGGCCCGCGGCCUAUCAGCUUGUUGGUGGGGUGAUGGCCUACCAAGGCGACGACGGGUAGCCGGCCUGAGAGGGUGACCGGCCACACUGGGACUGAGAUACGGCCCAGACUCGUACGGGAGGCAGCAGUGGGGAAUAGUGCACAAUGGGCGCAAGCCUGAUGCAGCGACGCCGCGGGAGGGAUGACGGCCUUCGGGUUGUAAACCUCUUUCAGCACCGACGAAGCGCAAGUGACGGUAGGUGCAGAAGAAGGACCGGCCAACUACGUGCCAGCAGCCGCAGUAA